AUGGACGCACGGAUGAGGCUGAUAAUUCAGGCAGCAGCACUGAUAACCGCGAUUCAGGCAUGGGUCAUGUUCAUGUACAAGAGAGUUGUUCGUCGUGUUGGGAUACCUUCGAUCCGCUAUGGUCCAAUGUUUAUCCGGGAAUACGAGGAUCAAAAUCUGAACUACAUCUACAACUGCAAUGACGUCGAGGCUCUGUGGAUGCUUCAAAUGAAAAGGGCACCAUUUGCCAGGCUUGUUCAUACCUUCAAGAGAAGGAGGUUGCUACAAGAUAACAUCAACACCAGUGUGGAAGAGCAAGUGGCCAUGUUCCUCCAUGUUGGCCAUACUAACAAGAGGUUCAGGGUCAUUCACAACAUGUUCAGGAGAUCAAUGGAGACCAUCUCUAGGUACUUCAAGCAGGUGCUUUUUGUUGUUGGGAAGCUUAGAGGAGAGAUGAUCAGGAGACCAUCUAGCCGGACUCCACCCAUGAUUCACGGAAGCCCAAGAUGGAAUACAUACUUUAAGGUGAGCAUUGACAAUAUACACUUUUCAUAG
rnacentral:rRNA from 1 species